rnacentral:tRNA from 1 species
UGCGGGGUGGAGCAGUCUGGUAGCUCGUCGGGCUCAUAACCCGAAGGUCAUCGGUUCAAAUCCGGUCCCCGCUACGA